GCUAUAGUUCAGCUGGUUAGAACGUCGGAUUGUGGUUCCGAAGGUCGUGGGUUCGAAUCCCACUAGC
rnacentral:tRNA from 1 species